GGAGAGCUGGCCGAGAGGCUGAAGGCGCGCCCCUGCUAAGGGCGUAUAGGUUUACCCCUAUCGCGGGUUCGAAUCCCUCGCUCUCCGCCA
rnacentral:tRNA from 1 species